rnacentral:antisense_RNA from 2 species
CUCUAUGGCGGCCACGUGUGGGCAGGCUUACGCCUGGCCGGCGUCCUUUCGUGCCGGUAUUCCUACCCCACACGUAGCCGCCACCCAA